rnacentral:piRNA from 1 species
UUGGCAUAUCUGAAAAGCCAUUCCUGUGA